CAUUAAAUCAUUGACCACAGAAAAUGCAACUGAACAUUCAUUUGUGGGUUUGAACUUCAAAGGCUGUCGACCUCUCCACACCCUUCCCACUGGUACUGAGAUGCUGUCAUGUCCUCCCAGCUCCCACAUGGAAGAUCCUGGAAGGAUAUAACUUCUUAGAAAAGGAAGAAUUGUUUGUAACCUGUAUGUCAAUAAAAUUUGGGUAUUAACCCUUGUCACA